GGUUGUUAUACACUGACGCCGGCUGAGUUUUUAACUAACCAUGGCAUGAGCUGCUAGCACCAGCUUCUCCCAGGUUCUCUUCAGAUUUAUGACAUCCAUAAAUGUCACUUUUCCUUCCGUAGAUGUGCUUGUUCCAUUUGGAAGUCAAGACUUGAUACUACAACUUAUUUGAAGCUUCCAAAUCAAUGUUGAAAGGGAGAGGAUUCUGAAAGCCCCAGAAUUUAGACUUUUUACAGGCCUGAGGCUGAUAUAGGAAUAAAGGCAAAAGUGGAACACAAAGUCACCAUAGAAGUAGCAAUUACUUGAGGAAACUACCACCUGCUGGCUGGAGAAACAGAAGAGAGGCAAGUCAAUUCAACGUAGAAGCUUUGAUAAGGGGCCUCUGAAUCAGUGCCAGCUCUCAGCGCAACAGAGCCACCUUGAGGAGCUGGACUUCAGAACUCUGAGGAGAGGGCACUAGCCCACCAGCUUUGAUAUUUCUGGAGAGAUGUGGAAGAGGCUGGUUCUAGAAGUAUUGGAAGACCUGCAAACUGGAUUCAGCUGCUGUUACUGGAACAAGACCUCGCUAUAGGGUGAAAUACCAAAGCAGGGAAACACUGACAGCCACAGAAAGCCAAUGGGAGCAAAGAGGAAACAGCACGUCCCUUCUUCUAGCCUUCCAACCUUCCUUUGGCAUUCCACUCACAGUUUAACAGGGAGCCAGCUGCCAAACCAGAAAUGUGGUCUGCAGAGUCCCAGGCCAAGCAUUACAAGGGUAGGUGUUAAAACUGAGAGACAAUUGCUUAAUAACUGACACACUUAUUUUACUGUGUUUCCAAUGAUUUGUGUAGAUAGCUAUCUCUUUAGCCGAAAAUUUCCUCCUUGGAGGUAGGGAAUGUAUUUGUAUCCAUUCCAUUAUCCAGAAUAAUAUUUGAUGUACAGGUGCUGUUGAAUAAAUGCAUGGUUAAGGUAUAAUGGCCUUAUGUUUAUACAUGUUAAAUAUUAUUCUGUUAGGUACAUCAAUUGUUGUCAUUAGUAGAAUUUUUUUUUUCCUUCUCAAAUAAUACUCUGUUGGUUAUCAUUCCUAGCUUUGGGGUCAUCUGCAGAUUUGAUAUGCAUUGCCUUUUAUAAUAAGUGGUCAAUGUGAAAUAUAUCGUUAAACAAUCUUUCUCUAGCUUUAGAGGGAUAAAGAUCACCUAUUGAGCUAGUUAAAUAUAGAUUUCUAGGCCCUGCCACAGAGGUUUUGAUUGAGAAGACCAUGAGCGGAACUUGAGAAUGUGUGCUUCUAAUUAGUUCAGAGUAUGAAGAUACUUUCUACCCAAGGUCCACAUUUUUAAUUACAAUUGUUUUAAUAAAAGUUCAGAACGUGGCAGUCUUUUACAACAGUUUAACACUUUGUUAUUUUUAAUGUUUAUUUGUUUUGAGAAAGAGAAAGAGAGAAAGCACAGGGAAGGGAUAGAGAA